rnacentral:lncRNA from 1 species
CUGACAUUUGCUGUUUUCAUUGUAUCUCUGCUAGGUUUUGGUGUCAAAAUGAUGCUGGACUCAUAGAAGGAAUUACAGAGGAAUCCUUCCUUCUAAGUUUUUGAAAUAAUUUCUGUAGGAUUGGUAUCAGCUCUUCAUUAUAUGUCUGCUAUAAUUUGGCUGUGAAUUCAUCUGUUCCAGAGCCUUUUCUGGUUUGGGUGGGGAUAAAUGGAUCAAACUGAUCACUUUGACAUUUUCAGUUGUUUUAGAGGCUUUGAUGCUUUCAAAACAAUUAUUGAGCAGUAGAAAGAGAAGUCUGGAUUCACAGAUAUCCUCAGUGCCCUUGCAGCACACAAACAUUUAAGAAAGAUACUUCUUAUGGUG